CGGGGUGCACCAGGCGCGAAAACUUUGCAAUACACGAAAGUGUGACAGGGUCAUCCCGAGUGCCGACCGCUGAGGUUGGCUUUUACCCAGUCUAGAAAGCUGGGGGAAUAAGGAGAGGGCAAGUCUGGUGUCAGCCGCCGCGGUAAUACCAGCUCUCCGAGUGGUGUGGACGUUUAUUGGGCCUAAAGCAUCCGUAGCUGGCUGAACAAGUCCCCUGUUAAACCCACCGAUUUAAUCGUUGGUCUGCGGGGGAUACUGCUCGGCUAGGGGACGAGAGAGGCAGGCGGUAUUCUCGGGGUAGGGGUGAAAUCCUAUAAUCCCGGGAAGACCACCAGUGGCGAAGGCUGCCUGCUAGAGCGCGCCCGACGGUGAGGGAUGAAAGCUGGGGGAGCGAACCGGAUUAGGUACCCGGGUAGUCCCAGCUGUAAACGAUGCAGACUAGGUGUUUGGACGGCCACGUGCCGUUCUAGUGCCGCAGGGAAGCUGUUAAGUCUGCCGCCUGGGGAGUACGAUCGCAAGAUUGAAACUUAAAGGAAUUGGCGGGGGA
rnacentral:rRNA from 1 species